rnacentral:rRNA from 1 species
UACGGAGGGUGCAAGCGUUAAUCGGAAUUACUGGGCGUAAAGGGCUCGUAGGUGGCCAACUAAGUCAGACGUGAAAUCCCCCGGCUUAACCUGGGAACUGCGUCUGAUACUGGAAGGCUCGAGUUUGGGAGAGGGAUGUGGAAUUCCAGGUGUAGCGGUGAAAUGCGUAGAUAUCUGGAGGAACACCGGUGGCGAAGGCGGCAUCCUGGACCAACACUGACGCUGAGGCGCGAAAGCUAGGGGAGCAAACGGG